CAGGGGAAGGGCUGGGCUCUAAAGGGCUGUGGAGCCCAGUGGAGAGAGGCAGAGGGGAGGGGGCUUGCGGGGGGGGGGCGUGUCUCUGGUCUCUAACCUCCCCCCCUGUCCCAUGCAGGGUUCGCCUGCUCCUUCGGCCAGCAGCUCCCUAAUGGGUGGUGCCGUGAGUGAAUCAAGUCUGUCAUGUUCAUCUGGAGGGCAUUCACAUGCCGAAGAAGCCCCCCCAGCCUGGUUUGCAACAUGGUUGGCAGAGUGACCACUCUGAAGCUUCAGGAGGGAACAAAGCCAAAGGACUAGGAGGGUGGGGGUUAGCUGAAGAGCCCCUCGCCCUUGCUAAACAGGUAGCUGAACAAGGUCCGUGCUCAUGGAGACAAGAUUCUUUCCAGGGGAGAGACGUCCUUGAGUCUGUUUGUAAGGGAUUUGACUCAUUCUGUAAGUGCGUGAAACCAAAGGAAAAGCUAUCGAAGUAGCAGCUGCCACAAAGACAUUGUGGAAAGCUGUCGCUGAUCGCUCCAGCCUGGUAGCACUCCGGGAAACACAACUGGAAGAUUACAAAUUGCAGUUGGAUACAGUUAAGGAUAAUUUGGCUCAGUAGAAGGCAUCACAGGCAAAACCAGGAGAGCGUCAGCAACUGAAAGUAGAAAACCCGGGGAAGUAUCUACAUUGCAAUCGAAGCUGGGGGAUGCUCAGGCGGCUGUCAGAACGGUGUUUCAAGAAAAUAACGAGGGGGCCCGGACAAAUAGUGACCACGCAGUCUGCAGGCAGCGGACAGUAGCAGCAGUAAGAGGAGAAGUAAGUGCGAGCACCAGGGAUACAGACACCUGGAAUGAUACUUGGAACGGGGAUAUUUGAAUUGAUCCCGAACAGAGAGAUCUUGGAUGGUCAUAUCCUUCUGAUCUACUUUUCCUGAAGGGCCCUAUGGCCCUGUGCAAAGGGAAUUGCAGGAUUUUAAAUUAGAGGCUGUGAUGUUGUGCAGUCUAUAUGGUUUUAUAAAAAUAUGGUAAGUGAAUAUAACGUAACUGGGAUAUGCUUCAUGCAAAAGGUCUCUUGUAAGGUAUCAUUACAAAGCUCAUAAUCUAAUGAGUGUGAUUAUCCUGUUUGUAGAAAUGUACCACUCUUGUAUCUAAAACUAGAAAUAUAAAACAUAACUCUGAGGGCCUAUUGUAAUUAUGUAAAGUGUGGGCCAUUAAGGAUGGUUUGGAAUCUUGAUGACUCCCAUUGUCUGCAGAUGUCUGUAUUUACCUGUGAGUCUUCCUGUAUGUGUGUGUGCUGGCAUGUGAUCAUGUCACCUGAACUAGAAUCCAUCUUUAACCUGGUGCUUUUCCAGUGAGGGGGGGUGGAAGCCAGAGGGACAAAGGGUUCCCGCCUUAUGCAAAAGAUAUAUAAAGGGGUGGAAGAGAACAAGGGGGAGNNNNNNNNNNNNNNNNNNNNUUCUCUGUAUUUAAUAAAAUCACUUUUUAUUUAGUAAUUUACUCA
rnacentral:lncRNA from 1 species